GAGAACGCAUUUUAAGCAGGAAGGGGUGGAGGCUCAGAGGCCUUCUAGGAGGCUCUGCCCUCCUGCCUGAUGGUGGUGCACUGGACGAGGAUGGGGGAGGGGCUGAUGGCUUUGGAACACGUUGGAGAGCCUUGCUGGAGGACUUGCUGGAAAGCCACAUGGCAUUGACCAGAAUUCCCAGCAGUUUCUCCCUUCUGAUGUUGGGUGCUUAUUAUAUUUGGACCUUGGGGAGGACAGCUGAAGACAUGGCAUGAGGAAAAACUCGAAUAUACAGGAAGAAGAGGGAUAACAUACACAGAGAACAGCCUCUGACACUGUUGUCACUAGAUGGAAUGCUUUUGACCGCAAACAACAGGAAACCCAUUUAAAUUUGACUUUAACAAUAUAUUUUACAUAAAAAAUAUAAUUUAACAUAAAAAUUA